rnacentral:rRNA from 1 species
AUGUCAACUUUCGUGCUCACAGCCCUGCGUGUACCAAAGAAAUUCUUCAAAGUUGUAGAUAAAUCGCGAAGGCGCUUCCUCUGGGCGGGGGAUGAGGAGAUAUCUGGUGGAAAAUGCAAAGUAGGAUGGAGCACGGUGACCACGCCGGAACAAUACGACGGUCAGGGCAUUCAUGAUCUACCUCGCUUCACCCACGCAUUGCGUUUGCGAUGGCUAUGGCAAACAUGGAAACAGCCGGAUAGACCCUGGGUAGGCACGGGUACACCCUGCGACGCCUCUGACAAAGCGUUGUUUGCGGCCUCUACUGUGGUGACCAUCGGCGACGGAGUUUCAGCUUCUUUCUGGUCCUGCUCUUGGCUGGGGGGGAGAUGUUGGCGAACGUAG